rfam:Triticum aestivum genome assembly, contig: Triticum_aestivum_CS42_TGACv1_scaffold_021384_1AS
AUUCUACUCCCCCCAUUGCACAUUACAUGCCUUCUAUUUGUCAAAAUAUAUAUGUAUCUAGACAUGUCUUAGUAUAUAGGUACAUACAUUUUUGGACAAAUGGAAGUCAAGUAUUUUGGAACGGAGGGAGUACACA